GAUGAACGCUGGCGGCGUGCCUAAUACAUGCAAGUCUAGCGAACAGAUGAGGAGCUUGCUCCUCUGACGUUAGCGGCGUACUGUUGAGUAACACGUGGAUAACCUACCUAUAAUACUUGGAUAACUUCGUUAAACCGGAGCUACUACCGCAUAAUAUAUUGAACCGCAUGUUUCAAUAGUUAAAGACUGUUUUGCUUUCCCUUAUAGUUGUAUCCUCGCCGCAUUAGAUAGUUGGUAAGGUAACGGCUUACCAAGGCAACGAUGCGUAGCCAACCUGAGAGGGUGAUCGGCCACAAUGGAAGUGAGAAACGGUCCAGACUCCGACGGGAGGCAGCAGUAGGGAAUCUUCCGCAAUGGGCGAAAGCCUGACGGGGCAACGCAGCGGGAGUGAUGAAGGUCUUCGGAGAGUAAAACACUGGUAGUAGGGAAGAACAAAUGUGUAAGUAACUAUGCAAGUCUUGACGGUACCUAAACAGAAAGCCAAGGCUAACUAAGGG
rnacentral:rRNA from 1 species